AUACGGAGGACGCGAGCGUUAUCCGGAUUUAUUGGGCUUAAAGGGUGCGUAGGCUGUGCUGCAAGUCAGUGGUGAAAGACCGGCGCUCAACGCAGGAAGUGCCAUUGAUACUGCAGUGCUGGAGUACCCCUGCCGUGGGAGGAAUGAGUGGUGUAGCGGGGAAAUGCAUAGAUAUCACUCAGAACCCCGAUUGCGAAGGCUACUCACGAAAGGGCAACUGACGCUGAGGCACGAAAGCGUGGGGAUCAAACAGGCUUAGAUUCCCUGGUAGUCCACGCUGUAAACGAUGAUGACUAACUGUCGGCGAUAUACAGUCGGUAGCCAAGCGAAAGCGAUAAGUCAUCCACCUGGGGAGUACGACCGCAAGGUUGAAACUCAAAUGAAUUGGCGGGG
rnacentral:rRNA from 1 species